CAGGGGGCCUUUAAGUGCCGGAGCCCGGCGUGCAGAGCAGAUAGUCGUCUGUGAACAAGCAGCGGUGAAACAUCAACAUGAGACGGAACAUGUGAGCGAGAGGCAAGACGAUCUGAGCGACGUGGCGUGUAACGGUUAAAAGCACGGCCGGAGCUCGCUGUGUGGGCGCCGUGACGCAUCUUGAGCCCUGGACAGGAUAUCAUCUUAUACUGUAAGUUCAUUAAAGAGACACUACAGUAUAGAUGAUGUACUAUCCAGGGGGUCAUUCGUCCUCAGCAACAGAGACGCGCUGACACCAACACCGCCGCACACGCUGCAGAGGGGGGCCGUCAAACCGUUACCAUUACUGAGUUCCAGUAAUGGUAAGGGUUAUAUGGCCCUCGCUCAAACUCAUCGUGACCACGAGGAUGACAAAGGUCGCUUCAUGGGAUAUUCAGGAGCUUCUGGAGGACACGGUUUUAACAAUGUACAUGUGGAUGAAUGUUGAAUAAAGCUGAUGGCGCCCAAACAAA